rnacentral:rRNA from 1 species
GAUGAACGCUGGCGGCGUGCCUAACACAUGCAAGUCGAACGAAGGUAUAUAUAGGAAGUCUUCGGAUGGAAUAUGUAUAACUUAGUGGCGGACGGGUGAGUAACGCGUAAGUAAUCAACCUGUGACACACGGAUAACUGAUAGAAAUGUCAGCUAAUACGAGAUGAACUGUUUAAAUUGGGAAAUGGAAACAGCAAAGCGAAAGCGGUCACAGACGAGCUUGCGUCUGAUUAGCUAGUUGGUGGGGUAAGAGCCUACCAAGGCGACGAUCAGUAGCCGGCCUGAGAGGGUGAACGGCCACAUUGGAACUGAGACACGGUCCAAACUCCUACGGGAGGCAGCAGUGGGGGAUAUUGCACAAUGGGGGGAACCCUGAUGCAGCAACGCCGCGUGAGUGAAGAAGGCCCUAGGGUCGUAAAGCUCUGUCGUAUGGGAAGAAACAAAUGACUUACCAUACAAGAAGCCCCGCA